rnacentral:tRNA from 1 species
GGAGAGGUACCCAAGUGGCUGAAGGGGACGGUUUGCUAAAUCGUUAGGGGGGCGCGAGUCCCCGCGAGGGUUCGAAUCCCUCUCUCUCCGCCA